UAGAAGGGGUGCCAACGAACUUGAAAUAAAAAACACUGUAAUUAAAAACAGUACUCUGAAAAGCAGAAACCUGGAGAAACUUCUGGCCAUCAGGUAUACUUGUAUGAUGGCUCUCCCAUGAACACAGUUUGUAGUGGCAGCUCAUAACACUGGAGCCUUUUGUUGACACUAACAAGGCUUAUAUUUCCUUGAUACCUCUGAAACUGUCACUGGAAUUUUUUUAAUGAAUGUUCCUUGCUGUGCUUUGACUGGAAUUUUCACAAAACAAGACUUUAAACUUGGAACACAAGUCAAACCACUUUUGCCUUAAUUUGUCUGGUGAGGCAUCAGUAGACAAAACACCACUUGGGCCUCAAGUUUAUCGUAUUUUUCUUAAAAUGCAAUGUUAACUUUACCUCUAAAAUAUUUAAGAUGCUGCUGCCUUAAGUAACUAAAAGAUCAUUUUGUGGGAAAACAUGGUUUACAACUUAUGUCAGGGAUUAAUGUUUACUUGAAAACAAUUCAUUGUCAAAAUGUUCUUAAUAUUGCAGGAAUCGCUGCCUUUUAGUGUGGUAUGUUUGGUCUUGCCGUUUGAGGAACCUGAGGUAACCUUGGAAACUGGUCAGUCUUAAAAGCUGCAGUCCUUGAACCAGAGUUGAGGCUGUUCGUUUACAGCCUGCGAAGACAUUAGGCUACCGUUUACUUUAAGCAAAGGCCUACUGAUAAUUUUUUAAAAUCACAAUGUCACUUAAUAGAGACACCAUUUUAGCUCUUGUACAUACAAAGGCUUAUUCUCUCUCCCCCUCCCUUCCCCCAUUACUUGAGGGUGGAGCCACACGUGGUGGAGAAAGCAAAGGAUUCUGAAGCCUGUGUUUUACUGUGUAAACCAAAUCCUGAGCUGUAGUGAGGCACUUGCGGGGACAUAAAACAGGGAGCUGCUGCUUACCCCACCUACCAGUUCCCCCAUGCAAAUGUUACUCCCAAGCCAUUUAAAUUUCUUCCCCAUUUCCUAAGAGGUACCAAAAUCAAAAGCGAAGCCUGUCUGAUGGGAAAACAGCUGAUGUUGAGGCAGGUGUAGAGGGAAAACUCAAUUGAUAUGUGACAAGUACUCAACCCAGCCACUUAGAUUUUAUUCCUGUUCCCACACUCCACAUUUGCAGUACCUCUGCAAAUGCAGAUUUGGGAACGGAGGGUUUGCCAGAUUAACAUGAUGUUUUGCCUUAAGUCCCAUUGAUUCAUUGCAGUUUAGCUCCACUUAUCUGUACUUCGGGAUCAUUAUCUUAACUAUACUGGUGCGAUUAAGCUUCCCGCAGGAUUUCUGUGGGUUUGGUUUUUUUGAAGAUUCCUGCUAGAAUAUGAAGUGCUCACUUGAUAUUCAGCUGUUUGUCCUGUUAGUCAUUAAAAGCCAGUAUUGUUUGUGAAAAGGGUUCUCAGGAUUGCAAUACAGACUAUGUGCAAUAUAUUGCUUUUAUUCUGUCUAGAGUCCAGUGUGUGUGUGUGUGUGUGUGUGUGUGUGUGUGUGUGUGUGAUGGUAGGAUGUUCAUCAUUCUGCUUUUUAAGUUAUAUAAUUUUUAGAAAAAUAGUUUGUGAGAGGGUUGAGUUGGAUUUUAGAGUGCAGAAUUGUGUUUCCCCUUUUCAGAGGAAGUAUGUUGGCUGGGGACUGAUGUCUUUAAAGUGUACUGUAGUCUGGGCAUGUCACACUUUAAGCGAAAUGAAAGUAGAUGUUGUGUUCCCUUUUUGUUACAGAUUUAAUUGAAAAGUGUUUAUGCAAAAAAUUAGAAUAGUAUCCGGAAGUUUUCUUUUUGUAUUUAUAUACGACUUGGUAUCUACAAUAUUUUGUGUGUUGUAAGCAAAUUUUAACCACCCAAUUGUGUAAAUACUACUGAGGAAGCUCUGGUUGUAGAAUCCAGUGUGUUCAUUUUAUUGGCCUUGCAGAGAAGCCUCCCCCGCCCCCAUUUGACAUUCGUAAGUAUCUCCAUCUUACAGUAGGUUAUUCAAUAAACACAGUGCAAAAUA